rnacentral:rRNA from 1 species
CGAUUCUGGCUCAGAACGAACGCUGGUGGCGUGUCUUAUACAUGCAAGUCGAGCGAGGCAGCAAUGCCGAGCGGCGAACGGGUGAGUAACGCGUAAGCAAUCUGCCCCAUAUCAGGAAAUACCCGUGCCAACGCGCGGUUAAUGUCCAGGAGAGUGGCCUUCCGCAUGGAAGGUUGACUAGAGAUUUAUCGGUAUGGGAUGAGCUUGCGUCCGAUUAGCUAGUUGGCGGGCAACGGCCCACCAAGGCGACGAUCGGUAGCCGGCCUGAGAGGGUGAUCGGCCACAUUGGGACUGAGAUACGGCCCAGACUCCUACGGGAGGCAGCAGUAGGGAAUAUUGCACAAUGGGGGAAACCCUGAUGCAGCAACGCCAACGUGUGGGAAGAAGCAUUUCGGUGUGUAAACCACUGUCAUGAGGGAAUAAGGCCCGCCUUCGGACGGGAUUGAAUGUACCUUGAGAGGAAGCACCGGCAAACUUCGUGCCAGCCGCGGC